AUGGGAUUUCGUGAUUUAUAUUCAUUCAACUUAGUUAUGCUUGCUAAGCAAUGCUGGAGGCUCAUCACUAAUCCAGAUUCCUUGGUUGCAAAAGUACUGAAAGCUAAAUACUACCCCAAUGGAACUCUUUUGGAUGCGACCCCAAAGAAUGGGUCAUCAUUUACAUGGCAAAGUAUUUUAAAGGGCCUUGAUACAUUCAAGAAAGGUUACAUAUGGAGGAUUGGUACUGGUGAGGAGGUAAAUAUAUGGAGGGAUCCUUGGAUACCUUCAAGCUCAGAUAUGAAGGUAAUUACACCGAGAGGCCAAUCAAUUAUUACAAGAGUUUGUGAACUCAUUGAUCCGGUGACCGGGGAGUGGGAUGAACAGCUAUUACAGAGCCUUUUCUACCCUGUAGAUAUUAGAAGAAUACUUCAGAUCCUGCUCAACACACACGCAUUUGAGGAUUUCAUUGCCUGGCAACCUAAUCGCACCGGAAUUUUUUCAGUGAAAACUGCGUACCAUUUGCAAUGGAUGCACACUUAUAGGGCACUUGCAAAUAUGAUGGUGAGGGCUGGUGGUUCAACGCCUUUGGCAGUGUGGAAUACACUUUGGAAAGUGCAAGUCCCACGUAGAAUUCAGAUUUUUGGGUGGAGGGUUCUGCAAGGAAUCGUUCCGCUAAAAGCAAUCCUGACAAACAGACAUAUUGGUUCUAAUGAGGCGUGCCCGAUAUGCCAUCAAGGUGCUGAGGAUAUUAGGCAUCUUUUAUUUCUAUGUGUGCAUGCAAAGGAAGUGUGGAGGCGUCUUGGGAUGUUGCAACUGGUGGAAGAUGCUGUA
rnacentral:rRNA from 1 species